rnacentral:rRNA from 1 species
CAGGACGAACGCUGGCGGCGUGCCUAAUACAUGCAAGUCGAGCGAGGAGAUCCUUCGGGAUGAUUCUAGCGGCGGACGGGUGAGUAACACGUGGGCAACCUGCCUCAUAGAGAGGAAUAGCCUUCCGAAAGGGAGAUUAAUACCUCAUAACAUUGCAGUUUCGCAUGGAACAGCAAUUAAAGGAGUAAUCCGCUAUGAGAUGGGCCCGCGGCGCAUUAGCUAGUUGGUGAGGUAACGGCUCACCAAGGCGACGAUGCGUAGCCGACCUGAGAGGGUGAUCGGCCACAUUGGGACUGAGACACGGCCCAGACUCCUACGGGAGGCAGCAGUGGGGAAUAUUGCACAAUGGGGGAAACCCUGAUGCAGCCAACGCCGCGUGAGUGAUGACGGCCUUCGGGUUGUAAAGCUCUGUCUUCAGGGACGAUAAUGACGGUACCUGAGGAGGAAGCCACGGCUAACUACGUGCCAGCAGCAGC